GAUUUCCAAUAAUUGAGACAGUAAUUUCUAAAAAGCUGUCUACAUUAAUGAAAAGAAC
rnacentral:pre_miRNA from 2 species